UUAAAGGCAACUCUCUCUCUCUCUAACAUCUCUCUCUAUCUUCUCAUCCUCCACAGAGAACAGACCUCUAAAAGCGGUUCCCUACCAGAGGACCUCGCCCGCACCGGAGCUUACUCCGAUCUCUUCGCUUUCAUCACUGACGGCGAUUUGUUAUCCACAAUUGGAAGCAGGAGACAGCGAAAUGAGCCAAGACGCCAAGAGAAGAGUUCCUGGGACUAUCCGACGAAGCCGAAUUUCGACGAUCGGAAACCCUCGCCGGCUGUCACCACCUCCACCAGCAAGCACGUUUGUUGUGUUAAUCACUGGAUUUGAUUCGGAAAUAGGUUUUUCACUUAGGGAAUUAUGGUUUUGUUCAAGCAUUUGAGACUCAUGGCGUAGAGAAGGACGUGGCGAAAGGAGUUUGACUCGAGGCACGGACCUAUCUAGCAUUGCAUCGUCGGUCGCAAUUUCGGGGUGGCAGUCCUUCAAUCAAAAUGUAUACUGUUCCUGAACAUGCAAAUAAUGAGAUUUAUAUGAUCCAAGGCAUGGAAUCGAAUAUGCAUUUUACCACUCCCUUUGAACAAGUUGAUGCCAUGUACAACGAAGGAGCCCCCGGGUUCUUGGCCCAGAAAAUUUGCAAUCGGAAAAGCUGAAGUGUGUAACUGUGUAUAUUUGAAUCUAUAAGGUUCCUAGUUGUUGACCAUGUACUACUUUUGUGUACCAUGAUCCUUGGUGGGUAACGUUGUUGGUUGUACACUUUUUCGUUUGAGGUAUAAUUAAUGUAAUGCAACCAUUA